GGGACUGUAGCUCAGGUGGUUAGAGCGCGUGCCUGAUAAGCACGAGGUCACAAGUUCAAGUCUUGUCAGUCCCA
rnacentral:tRNA from 2 species